UGGGGAAUAUUGCACAAUGGAGGGAACUCUGAUGCAGCGACGCCGCGUGAGUGAUGAAGGAAUUCGUUUCGUAAAACUCUGUUCUAUGGGAAGAAAAGGACUGUACCAUAGGAGAAAGCUCCGGCUAAAUACGUGCCAGCAGCCGCGGUAAUACGUAUGGAGCGAGCGUUGUCCGGAAUUAUUGGGCGUAAAGGGUGCGCAGGCGGCUUUACAAGUUGGAUGUGAAAUAUUGUGGCUCAACCACAAACGUGCAUCCAAAACUGCAAAGCUUGAGUUAAGGCGAGGUAAGUGGAAUUCCUGGUGUAGCGGUGGAAUGCGUAGAUAUCAGGAGGAAUACCGGUGGCGAAGGCGACUUACUGGACUUAAACUGACGCUCAGGCACGAAAGCGUGGGGAGCAAACAGG
rnacentral:rRNA from 1 species